rnacentral:misc_RNA from 1 species
GAUGAAGAACGUAGCGAAAUGCGAUACGUAAUGUGAAUUGCAGAAUUCAGUGAAUCAUCGAAUCUUUGAACGCAUAUUGCGCUCUCUGGUAUUCCGGAGAGCAUGCUUGUUUGAGUAUCAGUAAACACCUCAACUCCCUUUUCUUUUUUGAAAUUGGAGCUGGACUUGAGUGAUCCCAACGCUUUCUUCCAAGAAAGUGGCGGGUUGCUUGAAAUGCAGGUGCAGCUGAACUUUUCUCUGAGCUAUAAGCAUAUCUAUUUAGUCUGCCUAAAAAACAGAAUAUUACCUUUGCUGCAGCUAACAUAAAGGAGACUAGUUCUUGUGCUGACUGAUGCAGGAUUCACAGAGACAGCUUCGGCUGACUUUGUAAACUCGAUCUCAAAUCAAGUAAGACUACCCGCUGAACUUAAGCAUAUCAAUAAGCGGAGGA